CCCGGUCUCGGGCAGGCCUGCCGGGGAGUAAGGGAAGCGAAGACCACGCUUUCCCGCCCUGAGAAGCCGCCACCUUUGUCUCACGGCAUCGGCUCUGUCAGCAGCCUCGGUGGCCCUGACCUGCAAACAGAUGACGAAAUGUGUUUCCAACCUUGGCAGCUCUGCUCACCGAGUGGUAAACAGGGAUGCAAUCAUUGAGUAUGUAGGAUCCGGACUGGAUGAGCCUGUCAAGGGUCCAGACAGAGCUGUGCACUCAGAGCUCACGGUCUCCAUGGGGUGCCACCUCUCAGCGUCACCCAGGGUAGGAGACGAGUACAUCUCACGCCCAGGUAUUGGCUAUUAUUACCAUUUUUUAAAAGUUGGCCGAAUGGAGUCCUCCAACCUCAUAUCCUAAAUCUCAGGCCGGUCUUUGGCAUUUGUGUGGAUAGCCGCAGAUUCCUAACCUACCCUGUUGGUCUCUGCGCCCCAAGCGAGCAUCCAGGGCUGGCAGCAGGAGCAGUCAACUAAUGGCCCCAUCCAUCCAGUCAAGUUCCUCAGAAAAGGUCCUUCCAAGGGGACUCUUCCCAGAGCAAGGAGAACCCAAAUGACCAAGGAGUCAGCCACGUAGCCCUGAGCACACUUGCAAGCAAGUCCGUUGGGAACCCAAGUGACGCAAAUCGGACACACAGGUGAGAACAGGCCUGCUGGGAGCUCAAGUCCAAGUGCCCCACAGGACCCACAGGGAAACACCAAGCAGAUCUCGCUAUCGCUGGUGGGAGGGCACACUGGUUUGGCCUCUUGAGAAAGUAGAAACUAAUAAAACACCCGUAUGUGUCCAUGGCUCAUGACCCUGCAUUUCCAUUUCUGGAGAGAUGCCUUAGAGUUAAACUCACACAUGUGCCCAAGGAGACAAUAUCACAAGCUCGCUGCAACUUUAUUUAAAAUAGCAAACGUUUAAACUGAACAUACAUGUCCAUGAGGAGGGAAGUGAAUAAAUAGAAUGUGAUAUCUAUGCUGUGGAUUUGCCGUACAGCAUUUAAAGAGAGUGGAGCUCCUCUACAUCCACAGGGUUAGAUGGAUCUCGAAAGGAUAAUGUUGAGAAAAGCAAGUUCAAGGAAGAUGUGGUAAUUUUAUAUAGUCUACAUUAUAUAUAAUUUUAUAGAGGCUAUACGUGUAGUGUAACACCGUUUACAUACUUUUUUUUACAAACACGUAAAACCAUCUGAAGUCUUAAUAUACGUGUGUAAGUUUAAAAAAACUGACUGCAAGGAUAUAGACUGAAUUCUGAUGGCUGUUCCUCUAAGAAGCAGUAAAAUGGAGUGUGAUGGAACUGCAAGAGGAAAAGAUUUUUAACUUUAUCUGCAAUGUUCUAUUUUUUUUCUAAAAGGUCAUUGAAGCAAAUAUGACAGUCUAUUAACCACGGUGUAAUUCUGGGUGGUAAGAACAUCAGCAUUUGUACAUUUUAUAAGUAGAAAAUUUUCUUUCCUUCGGGCAAAACAGCCAGGGGGAAGCAUGUCAAACUAAUAAUUGGUCUUGGACUCAGCCUUGCAGACAGAGCUCCUGGGUGAUUGGUUUGCUGUGAACGUCGGUAACUGACCUAAUCCCAGAACCUCUAAAGAUCAUCAUCAAGGAACACAGUGAAAAAUGGGAAAAUAUACUCAAGCUGGCAGAGAGAAUGCUUUUCCCCAAUAAAACUGCCCAGGCUCUUCCAGUGACCACUGGCUUUGCAGUUUACAGAGGUGCCAUUGCAGCCUCGUAGCUUAAAAAGUGGUUUCCUAGGCGUGAUGUGAUCAUUGCAUUUCAAAUAUUUUCUUCUCUUGAACAACAUGGUGAAUGGAAGAUGUUGCCUGCCACAUCAGUAAACAAAGGAUGUUGCAGCCAUCAAGCCACCAUAGCUGACCCGACGGUUGUACAUUUUCCAGUCGACAACAGCAAUGGAAGAACUAAAGUCAUGACCUGUGAAGUCAGUCGCCGUGUUUCCUUUCCAUUCACAUAAGCAGAUACAUGAAAUCCUUCUCUGAAAGAUAAGCCAGGUGGAUGCAUAGUAGGAAGGACGGUGACCCCAGGGAUGUGCGUGCUUCACUCCCGGGAACCCGUGACUGUGUUCUCUUCCACGGCAGAUGUGGUCAAUGGUAUGGACCUUGAGUUGGCGUGACCACCCAGGUGGACCUAGUCUGCUCGUGAGCCCUACAGAGUGGAGAACCGACUGUGGUCAGAGUAAAAGCUGUGACAGUGAAGGGCCAGAGCAAUGCUGCACUGGUAGCUUUGAAGAUGGAGGAGGGGACCAUGAGCAGAGGACAGCGGGCGAGUCCAGCAGCUGGGAAAGAGAAGGAAACAAGGUCUCUCCUAGAGCCUCCAGGAAAGGCUGAUUUUAGCCCAGGGAGACAUCUGGCCCCUAGGACUGCAAAAUAAUAAAUUUGUAUUGUUUUAAGCCACCAAACUGUGGUAACUUUUCAGGGCCGCGAUAGGAGACUCAUGCAGAGUGUGACAUCCUCCAGCUAUUUCCAGAUAAGUAGUCAGCCUCAUCUUCGGAAGGGCAGCCUGUUUCUAAACUUGACAUAAUGAAAAAUUCAGCAAGGCUAUUGCAUUUCCAAAUACCUUAAAGAUUCAUCCUCAUUUAAAUUUACUUUCUGUACCCCUGUCAGGAGAAGAAAAAGUGAAUUCUAAUCCAAUCUUUUUAAACAAUUUUAUUUAUUUUUAAAAUUACUUUUAACCCAUUUUUCAACUCGUAAUCAACAAUCCUAUGGUCGAUUGACAAUCAUUUUUGGGGGAUAUGACUUUGAAUGGAGUUUUAAAAAUGUCCCUUAGCAUUACCUUAAGUCAAAUAAAAAUAAAUUAAUUUAGAAUCACAGAAUUUAAAAAUAGGCAGGAGCCUUGCGAGGUUCAAAUUCAAACUCUGCUGCUGGCCAGACAUUCACUAACCUGUAAUUUGCCAUAACUCACCCACCACGGUUUAUUUUGGAAUGAAUAAAUGUAUUAAGCAAA